CAGUCUUACUCUGCAUACAAGAAAGAUUGUCAUUUGGUUGAAUUUUCUUUGGAAUCUGUAGAUAAAGAAGGAAGAUGUUUCUUGUGUCUGAUCAAUAACACAGAAGCAACUGAAGAAACAAUAUGUGGAUGCUUCAAAGAUGAGUGAAAACAUUUCUUCCAAUACCC
rnacentral:lncRNA from 1 species